CCAGCAGCCGCGGUAAUACGUAGGGCGCGAGCGUUGUCCGGAAUUAUUGGGCGUAAAGAGCUCGUAGGCGGCCUGUCGCGUCGGCUGUGAAAACCCGGGGCUCAACCUCGGGCCGGCAGUCGAUACGGGCGGGCUGGAGUCCGGCAGGGGAGACUGGAAUUCCUGGUGUAGCGGUGAAAUGCGCAGAUAUCAGGAGGAACACCGGUGGCGAAGGCGGGUCUCUGGGCCGGUACUGACGCUGAGGAGCGAAAGCGUGGGGAGCGAACAGGAUUAGAUACCCUGGUAGUCCACGCUGUAAACGUUGGGCGCUAGGUGUGGGGGGCUUUCCACGUCCCCCGUGCCGCAGCUAACGCAUUAAGCGCCCCGCCUGGGGAGUACGGCCGCAAGGCUAAAACUCAAAGGAAUUGACGGGGGCCCGCACAAGG
rnacentral:rRNA from 1 species